rnacentral:rRNA from 1 species
UUGAACGCUGGCGGCAUGCCUUACACAUGCAAGUCGAACGGCAGGCACGGGAGCAAUCCUGGUGGCGAGUGGCGAACGGGUGAGUAAUAUAUCGGAACGUGCCCAGUCGUGGGGGAUAACGUAGCGAAAGCUACGCUAAUACCGCAUACGAUCUAUGGAUGAAAGCGGGGGAUCGCAAGACCUCGCGCGAUUGGAGCGGCCGAUAUCAGAUUAGGUAGUUGGUGAGGUAAAGGCUCACCAAGCCGACGAUCUGUAGCUGGUCUGAGAGGACGACCAGCCACACUGGGACUGAGACACGGCCCAGACUCCUACGGGAGGCAGCAGUGGGGAAUUUUGGACAAUGGGCGCAAGCCUGAUCCAGCAAUGCCGCGUGCAGGAUGAAGGCCUUCGGGUUGUAAACUGCUUUUGUACGGAACGAAACGGUGAGCUCUAAUACAGUUUGCUGAUGACGGUACCGUAAGAAUAAGCACCGGCUAACUACGUG